UACGUAGGGGGCUAGCGUUGCUCGGAAUCACUGGGCGUAAAGGGUGCGUAGGCGGUUUCUUAAGUCGGUGGUGAAAUCCUGGAGCUCAACUCCAGAACUGCCUUCGAUACUGGGAAACUUGAGUUCGGGAGAGGUGAGUGGAACUGCGAGUGUAGAGGUGAAAUUCGUAGAUAUUCGCAAGAACACCAGUGGCGAAGGCGGCUCACUGGCCCGAUACUGACGCUGAGGUGCGAAAGCGUGGGGAGCAAACAGG
rnacentral:rRNA from 1 species